UACGAAGGGGGCUAGCGUUGCUCGGAAUCACUGGGCGUAAAGCGCACGUAGGCGGAUUGUUAAGUCAGGGGUGAAAUCCUGGAGCUCAACUCCAGAACUGCCUUUGAUACUGGCGAUCUUGAGUCCGGGAGAGGUGAGUGGAACUCCGAGUGUAGAGGUGAAAUUCGUAGAUAUUCGGAAGAACACCAGUGGCGAAGGCGUCCCACUGGCCCGGUACUGACGCUGAUGUGCGAAAGCGUGGGGAGCAAACAGG
rnacentral:rRNA from 1 species